rnacentral:tRNA from 1 species
UGGCUCAGACAGUAGAGAGUCUGCCUGUAAUGCAGGAGACCCAGGUUCAAUCCCUGG